rnacentral:rRNA from 1 species
UGGUGGAAACAUCGCCUUCUCGCAAGAGACAGUAGUAGAGGUGCUGCAUGGCUGUCGUCAGCUCGUGCCGUGAGGUGUUGGGUUAAGUCCCGCAACGAGCGCAACCCUUACUCUUAGUUGCCACCCGCAAGGGGGAACUCUAAGAGGACUGCUCCGGAUAACGGAGAGGAAGGUGGGGAUGACGUCAAGUCAGCACGGCCUUUAUGUCCAGGGCUACACACGUGUUACAAUGCACGGUACAGACUGUUGCGAACCCGCGAGGGGGAGCCAAUCGGAAAAACCGUGCUCAGUUCGGAUUGCAGUCUGCAACUCGACUGCAUGAAGCUGGAAUCGCUAGUAAUGGCGUAUCAGAACGACGCCGUGAAUACGUUCCCGGGCCUUGUACACACCGCCCGUCACAUCACGAAAGUGGG